UACGAAGGGAGCUAGCGUUGUUCGGAAUUACUGGGCGUAAAGCGCACGUAGGCGGAUAUUUAAGUCAGGGGUGAAAUCCCAGAGCUCAACUCUGGAACUGCCUUUGAUACUGGGUAUCUUGAGUAUGGAAGAGGUGAGUGGAAUUCCGAGUGUAGAGGUGAAAUUCGUAGAUAUUCGGAGGAACACCAGUGGCGAAGGCGGCUCACUGGUCCAUUACUGACGCUGAGGUGCGAAAGCGUGGGGAGCAAACAGG
rnacentral:rRNA from 1 species